UACGUAGGGUGCGAGCGUUGUCCGGAAUUACUGGGCGUAAAGAGCUCGUAGGUGGUUAGUCGCGUCGUCUGUGAAAUUCCGGGGCUUAACUCCGGGCGUGCAUGCGAUACGGGCAUAGCUUGAGUACUGAAGGGGAGGCUGGAAUUCCUGGUGUAGCGGUGAAAUGCGUAGAUAUCAGGAGGAACACCGGUGGCGAAGGCGGGUCUCUGGACAGUAACUGACGCUGAGGAGCGAAAGCGUGGGGAGCGAACAGG
rnacentral:rRNA from 1 species